rnacentral:lncRNA from 1 species
CUAAACUGAAGUUGGGGCAUUCAGCCCUUACAAAUUCUACACAAAGCAGCCUCAAACUAGGGUAUUUGACCACUUACCCACGAAAAAGAAUGAUUCCAACUACACUCAACUUGUUGGAGGGGUAAUCAUUGCAAGAUCCUCAGUUGAAAAAAAAAACCAAAAAUGAUAAAAACGAAGAUUAUAGACCAACUAAAACCUCCUACCCUUCACAUCCUAAAAGAAAUAACUAACCUUACCAUAGGGAAAAAUGCACAUACGAUACUUACAUUGAGACGAACGUACAAACUCCUCAUUCAAAAACAC